rnacentral:piRNA from 1 species
UGGAAUAAGGAGAAAAAACCAGGAGUGUCC